GAUGAACGCUGGCGGCGUGCCUAAUACAUGCAAGUCGAGCGAACAGACGAGGAGCUUGCUCCUUUGACGUUAGCGGCGGACGGGUGAGUAACACGUGGGUAACCUACCUAUAAGACUGGGAUAACUUCGGGAAACCGGAGCUAAUACCGGAUAAUAUUUCGAACCGCAUGGUUCGAUAGUGAAAGAUGGCUUUGCUAUCACUUAUAGAUGGACCUGCGCCGUAUUAGCUAGUUGGUAAGGUAACGGCUUACCAAGGCAACGAUACGUAGACGACCUGAGAGGGUGAUCGGCCACACUGGAACGGAGACACGGUCCAGACUACUACGGGAGGCAGCAGUAGGGAAUCUUCCGCAAUGGGCGAAAGCCUGACGGAGCAACGCCGCGUGAGUGAUGAAGGUCUUCGGAUCGUAAAACUCUGUUAUUAGGGAAGAACAAACGUGUAAGUAACUGUGCACGUCUUGACGGUACCUAAUCAGAAAGCCACGGCUAACUACGUG
rnacentral:rRNA from 1 species